rnacentral:rRNA from 1 species
UACGUAGGGUGCAAGCGUUGUCCGGAAUUAUUGGGCGUAAAGAGCGUGUAGGCGGCUUUGCAAGUCGGGUGUGAAAGCCCUCAGCUCAACUGAGGAAGUGCGCCCGAAACUGCAGAGCUUGAGUACCGGAGAGGGUGGCGGAAUUCCCCAAGUAGAGGUGAAAUUCGUAGAUAUGGGGAGGAACACCGGUGGCGAAGGCGGCCACCUGGACGGUCACUGACGCUGAGACGCGAAAGCGUGGGGAGCAAACAGG